UCUCAGCAUACCUGUGAGACCCUUUACCUUCACCAGGCUAAGGAGCCGGCAUCAGACACAACCUCAGUCCACAACGCCUAGUCUCACCACACCCCCAAGGGUCAUCAGCAGUGAUAAAUCUUGAACAUAAGCGACAGCUUGACUCAGUUAGAGAAAAGAGGGCCGGCCAACCCGGUGCCAGCCGCCGCGGCUACCCCGUGGGGCCCAAGUUGAAGGUCAUCGGCGUUAAGCGUGAUUAAAGUCUAUUUAGAUUAAGGUCAAAUUAAUACUCAGUAGUUUAAAGCUCGCCAUUAAGAAGACCAUAAACGAAAGUUACCUUAACCCAACACUUGAAUACACGACAGCUGGGAAACAAACUGGGAUCAGAUACCCUACUAUGCCCAGCCGUAAACAAUUAACUUACAUCUAUAAGCGCCAGGGAACUACGAGCCACGCUUAAAACCCAAAGGAUUUGACGGUGUCCCACCCCCCUAGAGGAGCCUGUUCUAUAAUCGAUGAUCCCCGCUAUACCCCACCACCCCUUGCUCGUCAGUCUGUAUACCUCCGUCGAAAGCUUACCAUGUGAACGUCUAUAGUAAGUUUAAUGACUCAACACGUCAGGUCAAGGUGCAACUUAAGGGGUGGAAAGUGAUGGGCUACAAUUUCUAAUCUAGAACAAACGAAAGGCCAUGUGAAAUCGUGGCCACGAAGGCGGAUUUAGUAGUAAAAAGAAAAUAGAGUGUUCUUUUUAACCCGGCUCUGGGACGCGUA
rnacentral:rRNA from 1 species